AAUGCCUCCACAGUUUACUGAAGCUUUUGGAAAACGAGUAUCCAUCAUUGUUGACUGUUUUGAGAUUCGAACAGAAAGACCAUCUAAUUUAAAGGCACGCGCACAAACAUACUCUCAUUACAAGGGUACACAUGUAACCCUGGUUAACAUAGUUGUCAAUAAACAAAAGCCUGUUAGUAAAAACAGUCAUAAGAAAUAUAUUACAGGUGAUAAAUAGUCAAUAAAUAGAACAUAAUGGUUAAGGAAAUUCAUUAAAAACAUCAGCAAUGAUAUAAUUCAUGGUAUAAGAUUUCAUUUGUUUAAAAACAUGUUAAAAGGUUAAAAAACUUGCUAAUGUAUGGUGUUUUUAUGUUAAUUAAGGUAAAAUGGCUAAAAUAUGUGUUCAGACUCUUAUUGUGAAAGGGUACGCUGCAGCGUGACUCCUGUGAUAGCCACACCCAAUCGGGUUGUUCCUUCUUUUUGAUGCUGGAGAGGGAGAAAUGCAGACAGUCCUUGCGGAGCUGCUGCCUAAACGAGUGAAAAAAUAUUAAAAAACAAGCCAGAAGUCUACAUAAAGCCAUUUUUGUACUCUGGAGAAUAUAUUUUUGUUUUUCCGACCUGUCUUUGCCUUGGUGACGUUGUGAACGUACCCGAACGGGACUUGGCCAUUAAGGUUUGGAUCGGGAAAUGCCGAGCUAGAAUCGGAGUUUGAUCCGCUGAGCGAGAAACAAGAUGGCGAGCCACCCAGGGACCCAUUGAACUGUACCGAGCAGGAAAAAGGAAAACCGCCCCCUGCUGGACGUUGAAUUCUUUCACUAAAAAACUGGUAGGAUUAAUCCAUACACCUCUGCAAAAGAACAGUGGACUUUCAAAGCACUGGAUAAUCGUUCAGAGCAAUUCCAGGAUUUAUAGUUAAAGGACACAGAGACAAUUUUCUUUUGUUUAUUUGUUUGUUUAAGGGAUUUGUUCAGCCUUUUGCUGAAUUGUUUUCAGUUUUUACAUGUUUUUUGUAAUUUAUUUUGGUCAACCUCACAUUUUAAUGCUGUAAUGGUGUUAUUGGAAAUGUAAAUAAUUUUGUUGGGUUAAAACAAAAUAAGGAAUGGUUGAAAUUUAAAGGUGAACCUAGACCAAGGUUAAAUUAAAUCUUGGGCCUAGAAGAACUAAACUUGAUUUAAAAUAACACAGUGUUAAUGCAAAUAGAUCAAAAGGUAAACUUGAACUUAGAACUUGAAAUGAAUAAGACAAUAACCUAGGUUGAAAAUAACAUCCUUUUAAAGCCAAAUAAAAGGUUUUGAAAUAAAUAGGAUAAAUUAACAGAAAUUACUGAACAAAAAGGGGAAAGAAAAUAUCUUGUUUUCCUUGAAUGUGUGAUGUUUAAUGUUUUAUGUAAUCUGUCUAUUCUCUGUCUUCUCAAAAUAAUAAGCCGGCACUUUAAACUUAUUUUCUGGUCUGUGGUCUUUAUUACGUCAUACAUUCAUUACUACUCUAGUAGUCGAACCUAACUGGUCCUAGUGUACUGUAACGACUCCAGAAGUGUUACAGAAGUGGCGAGCCAGCCAGGAGUAGUAAUUGAUUCCUCAAGGUUGUUUUCCUGACCCAGACCUCAAAAAUAGGCCAAGUCCGGCAAAAUGGAAAUAGUUGACAGAGAGAAUGUUAAAAUCCCAAACUCAGUUAUUGUUAGUGGGAUUACAGGCACAGACGCUGAUGAAGCUUUAAAAGACUUUUUAAACAGAUAUGGUCGAACAGCGAGAACCCUUAAGAUAGAUGAUCCCAAGUCUUCUUACCACAAAAAUGUUAUUGUGGAGUAUGAGAGUGGAGCUGCUCUGUCAAAACUUGAACCCUUACUACCCUACACACUUGAAUGUCCGAAUGAAGUCACUUAUCAGAUACGAGCCCUGUCACCUGAGUACAUCGCAGCUGUUACCAACGUCGCCACCAACAGUUUUUUCAAUGAACUGCAAAGCAUCGCUAAACUUAGUGGCAAAUCUUUUGAAGCUGUUCUGCAUGAACACCUUUCCCAAUGUGCUCAAUCAGUCACACACAGCACAGAAGCUCCUACCCCAGACGCACAAAGUGAACCAACAACCCAAGUACAAGCAAAUGAUCAACCUAUCCAAAGUGAAACCUCAGAACCAAUCAAAGCUAACGAACGCAUCAGCAAUUCUGAGUCAGUCAACCAGACACAACCAGAUCUACAAACUACCAUUCCACAGAGCUUUAUAACACACCCUGAGGUGCAAAAGGUUGUAGUAGAGCACAUUGUCCGAAGUGAAGCUCUUGUCUCACCAGUGAACGCCUCUUUCCGCCUCAGAAAUUUUUCAGGCAAACUGCCCUGUCCUAGUCAUGAGGUGGACUUUGAUACAUGGCGCCACAGUGUAGAGCUCCUACUUCAAGAUCCC
ensembl:lncRNA